CCAGGCAGUCUCCACGCUCAGCAUGGAGCCCAAUGCUGGGCAAGAUCCCAUGACCCUGGGAUCAUGACCCAAGCCGAAUUCAAGAGUCAGACACUCAACCGACUGAGCCAUCCAGGUGCCCCGAUCAGAGUAAUCUUAAUUAAGAUCAUGCCCAGUAGGGAUCAAACUUUAGCCCACAGCAUAAGAUUAGUACACCUUAGAUUACUAAUAAGCAUAUUUAGAAAUAAUAUAAAAACCAAAAGGGAUUUUCUCUCCCUUAUGUAGAUUAUGGGAUACUGGGGAGGGAAACUGCUUUCCUCUCUCAUACUCAACAAUAUUUAGUAGUAUAUAUAAAGUAUUGUGCCAGUUAGAUGCCAAAAAUUCAUCUAAAAAGUCAUGAUGUUGUCUUUAAUAUUGUUAUAAUCUACAUGGGAAGACAAAACUAUUAUACAUAGAAACUACAGUGGUUAUAUAAACAGCAAAUAUUAUAGGCAUUGUAUAGUAAAGGUUAUCAGAACAGGGAGAGAUCAUUGUUGGUAGGAUGGUCAAGGCCAGCUAAAUGAGAGAAUUCAGAGUCUCGCAGUUUGAAAGGAUCUCGAAAUCAUCUUGUCAUAACCCAUUUAGGGAUUGACUAGUCGGCAGUCAGUUACCUCUAAAAAUUGCACAUUUAACAUUUUUGGAUGAGACUAAAUCAUAAAAUAUUUAUUAAUUUAGACUUGGGAGCUUUUUUGCUAGCUAUUUAUUGCCUUAAGAGGAACUCUAAAUACUAUUAGGAAUCCUUGGUAUUCUUCUUUUGAUAACCAUUUAGUGUGUAUUCUCUUCUUGAUAGCUCCAGCUGGAUGAAUGCUGAAGGAACCAUUCAUUUUUAUUGUUGAAUGUGGUUAGAGCCACUAAAUCAUUUGGGGACUCCAGAAGAUCAGUGUGACAGAAACUUCCAUCAGCAUCAAGUGACCAGGGACUAAUAAAUCUAAGAUUUUUUGUUCCCCCUGGCAUAGUUCAUGAUUAUUCAGAAACUACUUUGCUGGAACAUAUAAAUGAAAAAACAUUCUAACAGU